GGCUCACAAAUUGCUGAAAUCGACUGCGUGAGUUAUCCACACACAUAUAUAAACAUAUAUAGUGGCUUUUGUGUAUUAUAGUUGGUAGGCACUAGCGAGAUAUGACUGCUAUAAUUUGCUUCAAGGCAUGUUAUACGUGUGUCAAAACACUUGUGAUUUCAGGUUGGUGAGCAUGAAGGUGAGAGCUCUAGUGGACAUGUAGAAGUGAGAGGUUGAGAAUUGACUUUUUCAGCAUCUCUAUCUUUAGGUUUGCAACUGAGAUCAGUGUCUCACUGAAGGACUCUGACUGCACAGAGCACAGAUGACUGCCAUCUGCUAUCCACAGUGGGGUGUCUCUUCAGGACCUUGGGAAAAAGGUCAAGGUGAUGCUGUGAGAUCCAGCAGGCCUCAACUGGAGGAUAUGCGGGUGGGUUGCUCAUUCUGAUCACCUUUUUGCUCAUGGAAUGCACUGUGGAGGGCAUUUGGUGCAGUGAUGAGAAAGGGGAGACAGGUAGCUAACAAGAUUCCAUUGGGAUCUGAUGGGAGAGGGUUCUGGAAGUUAAACCCUCUAUUAACCCCAGAAUUAAACUCUCUGUUUGUUGGCUAAGAAAAGUGAACAUGAAAUUAAGAAGAAGGAAAUGUGUAUAGAAUUCUGACUUAUUCUUUACAUAUGAAAUGAUAUGAUAGAGAAAUUGUGUGCUGGACUUGCAUUGUGCUCUAUUUCUAAUCAGCUUUUGUUGCUUUACUCUUCAAAAAUUAUUUUUCCUAUAAGAGCUGCUCGUUUCUGCUCUUUUACUAAUAUGGAAGCCUGCUCUCUGCUCAGCACAUCUUGGGUAUUGUGCACUGCAGGCUGUUUUCUAUUGCAUGUUGAACUGUGAGGACCAUAUCCUAGUGGGCACAAAACUCUCAUUGUCACUUGACACUGGAGACCACGUCCUUGCAGUGCCUGUGAGGUGGUGGGUGAGACGUGAACUCUCUCCUCCUGCACUUUCAGGACUUGUGACUUCCCCUCAUGUUUGUCCUCACUGUUAAUUCCUCGUGUAAAGGGCGCUGCAGGGGUGGAUGAGUCACAGCACACAGGCUCUGGGGUCCCUGCCUGGGCUCGGUCUCCUGGGGCUCAUCACAGCCCCUGCAGCAGCCAAGGCUGAUGUGCUGAAGGUGCUUCCGGGUGAGAGGUCCAUGUCCUGCUGCUCCUAGAGACCCUCCAUAUCUGCAGAUUCUAGAGUCUGUGAAGGAGCCACUGGGCUUCUUCACACACUUGCUUUUAUAGCCCUGCUGACCUGGUCUCCUAGGAUUGAGCAUUCCCAGGGCAGCAGGUCCUGGGAUCACUGCUGCUCUCAGAACCCACUGCUGCAUCCAGAUAGUCCUGCCCCUUCUCCCCAACCCAGGCCUGCCCCAUCCUCUCUCCUUUCCUUACACCUUCCCAAGUCUCAUCCCUCCCAAUUUUCCAUGUCUCAGUGCAAGCCCGGCAGCUACCACAUGUUUAUGGAGGACCCUUGUCACAUUAUUCUGGCUAAAUGAAAUUGGAAGUGUUUGCCUCUAUCCUUUCUAAGGGUCUGUGAAACUUGAGGUGUUGCUGUGAGCAUUAAGCAUCUCCCAGGUAACUCAGGUCACCCCAGGCAACGGGAGAGCCUCUGUUGUGUGGAAUUUUUGUCCUUCCCUCCCCCAGGGCUCAACACACUCUCAAGUCCAUGCCAGCUCCUCCCUUGGAGAAAUGUAUUGGUUAAUUGAGUAAUGGACUGAUUGGAGACAGUGGCCAUACACCGAUGUUCCUCCUUCUAAUGUGUCCACAUUGCAAACUCUAGGGAUGCUAGAGGUUGAAGGAGAAAGUAAAGUAACAGUGACUAGAGGAGAGAAAUAAGGAAGCAAUUAGAGAAGAAGCAGCGGGAGAAGGAGGCAAGGAAGGUCAUGGGCAGAGAUGCAUGGAGACAGUGACCACCUGGAGGAGGAACAGCCAUUCCAAAGGAGUUCUGCCUGGCAACACCAGAAAACUGAAUGGAAGAUAAUGAAGAAUUGGAGCAGAAGAGCAAGAAUAUGGAAGUCAUUUACUGUCAGGGGACGUUCAACUUUACAGAAUCCAAGAAUGAAAUGACAGAGACAAAAAGCAACAGCAACAAAAGAUGACUUUAGAUUUUAAUAGUAUUAUUCUCUAACUUCAGUGGACCUCAUGAUAACCUUAAGAGCUUGUACAAAUGCAGAUUUUGAGUCUAUGGAAUAAAAAUUUCAAUCGGUUA